UACGUAGGGGGCUAGCGUUGUCCGGAAUCAUUGGGCGUAAAGAGCGUGUAGGCGGCCCGGUAAGUCCGAUGUGAAAGUCAAAGGCUCAACCUUUGAAUGUCAGUGGAUACUGCAGGGCUAGAGUCCGGAAGAGGCGAGUGGAACUCCUGGUGUAGCGGUGGAAUGCGCAGAUAUCAGGAGGAACACCGGUGGCGAAGGCGGGUCUCUGGGCCGAAACUGACGCUGAGGAGCGAAAGCGUGGGGAGCAAACAGG
rnacentral:rRNA from 1 species